rnacentral:rRNA from 1 species
ACGGAGGGUGCAAGCGUUGCUCGGAUUUACUGGGCGUAAAGCGACCGCAGGCGGUCGAUUAAGUCUGACGUGAAAGCCCCGGGCUCAACUCGGGAAGUGCGUCUGAAACUGGUCGACUUGAGUACGGGAGAGGAGAGUGGAAUUCCUGGUGUAGAGGUGAAAUUCGUAGAUAUCAGGAGGAACACCGGCGGCGAAGGCGGCUCUCUGGCCCGAUACUGACGCUCAUGGUCGAAAGCGUGGGGAGCAAACAGGAUUAGAUACCCUGGUAGUCCACGCUGUAAACGAUGAGUGCUCGCUGAUGGAGGUCUAUACCCUUUCAUUGGCAAAGCUAACGCAUUAAGCACUCCGCCUGGGGAAUACGGUCGCAAGACUA